UACGUAGGGUCCGAGCGUUGUCCGGAAUUACUGGGCGUAAAGAGCUCGUAGGUGGUUUGUCGCGUUGUUCGUGAAAACUCACAGCUUAACUGUGGGCGUGCGGGCGAUACGGGCAGACUGGAGUACUGCAGGGGAGACUGGAAUUCCUGGUGUAGCGGUGGAAUGCGCAGAUAUCAGGAGGAACACCGGUGGCGAAGGCGGGUCUCUGGGCCAUUACUGACGGCUGAGGAGCGAAAGUGUGGGGAGCGAACAGG
rnacentral:rRNA from 1 species